GGUCCAGUAGCUCAGGUGGCAGAGCACUAGCAUAUAUAGCCAGGUCCUUGGUCCAAUACCGUGCUGGGUCA